UGGCUCUUACUGUCGUAACUGGUAGCAUAUUUUUCUCUUAGAUAUACAUAAAAUCAGUGCACACCCAGCCGGCAAUGAUGUCUUAGAGGUGAUGAACAACCACAGUUGUUAAAUAAAUGAAGAUUUUGAGGACAAGGUACGACUUCAAACUGCAAACUGCCAGGAGCCAAAUCAAAGAAAGGAUUUCAUAAAACCAUCAUGGGCUUGGCAAAACUUCCAGGCAGAAGUCAGAAUAUGGACAUGCCAGAGGUCUGGUGUCGAAGAGAGGUGAGCAAAAGCCAGCUGGACAGGAUGAGAGGAGCUGCCUGACAUGGACGAGUUGCCUCCCUUAAGGUGGAGCCUUGCAAUCUAAAUCAAUGAUCUAGAUGAAUUUUUAAAUGAAAAAAACACUAUUGAAAUAUUUCUAAGCAUUUGUGAAUUUAUG
rnacentral:lncRNA from 1 species